rnacentral:rRNA from 1 species
AGAGUUUGAUCCUGGCUCAGGACGAACGUUGGCGGUGCGCUUUAUGCAUGCAAGUCGAGGGAUAUACAUUCGUUCCGUAAGGUUCGGAUGUGGAAACCGGCGAACGGGUGCGUAACACGUGAGAAACCUACCCCCUAGACCGGGAUAGCCCGAGGAAACUCGGAUUAAUACCGGAUACUCUCUUUGGAUCGCAUGAUCCGUUGAGGAAACAGUCCGCUGCUAAGGGAUGGUCUCGCGGCCUAUCAGGUAGUUGGUGAGGUAACGGCUCACCAAGCCUAAGACGGGUAGCUGGUCUGAGAGGACGAUCAGCCACACUGGAACUGAGACACGGUCCAGACUCCUACGGGAGGCAGCAGCAGGGAAUAUUGCACAAUGGGCGAAAGCCUGAUGCAGCGACACCGCGUGCGGGAUGACGGCCUUAGGGUUGUAAACCGCUUUCAGGAGGGAAGAAAAUGACGGUACCUCCAAAAGAAGCUCCGGCCAACUACGUGCCAGCAGCCGCGGUAAUACGUAGGGAGCAAACGUUGUCCGGAUUUAUUGGGCGUAAAGGGCUCGUAGGCGGUUCAACAAGUCGGUCGUGAAAGCUCGGGGCUCAACCCCGAGAUGCCGGUCGAAACUGUUGUGACUAGAGUUCGGUAGAGGUGAGUGGAAUUCUCGGUGUAGCGGUGGAAUGCGCAGAUAUCGAGAGGAACACCAUUA